AGAUUGAACGCUGGCGGCAGGCCUAACACAUGCAAGUCGAGCGGUAGAGAGGUGCUUGCACCUCUUGAGAGCGGCGGACGGGUGAGUAAAGCCUAGGAAUCUGCCUGGUAGGUGGGGGAUAACGCUCGGAAACGGACGCUAAUACCGCAUACGUCCUACGGGAGAAAGCAGGGGACCUUCGGGCCUUGCGCUAUCAGAUGAGCCUAGGUCGGAUUAGCUUAGUUGGUGAGGUAAUGGCUCACCAAGGCGACGAUCCGUAACUGGUCUGAGAGGAUGAUCAGUCACACUGGAACUGAGACACGGUCCAGACUCCGUACGGGAGGCAGCA
rnacentral:rRNA from 1 species